rnacentral:rRNA from 1 species
UGCCGCGUGCAGGAAGAAGGCGUUAUGCGUUGUAAACUGCUUUUUUAUAGGAAGAAGGAUCCCUUGCGAGGGAAGGUGACGGUACUAUAAGAAUAAGCACCGGCUAACUCCGUGCCAGCAGCCGCGGUAAUACGGAGGGUGCAAGCGUUGUCCGGAUUUAUUGGGUUUAAAGGGUGCGUAGGCGGUUUAUUAAGUCAGUGGUGAAAGACGGUCGCUCAACGAUUGCAGUGCCAUUGAUACUGGUAGACUUGAGUGAGAUUGAGGUAGCUGGAAUGGAUAGUGUAGCGGUGAAAUGCAUAGAUAUUAUCCAGAACACCGAUUGCGAAGGCAGGUUACUAAGUCUUAACUGACGCUGAGGCACGAAAGUGUGGGGAUCAAACAGGAUUAGAUACCCUGGUAGUCCACACUGUAAACGAUGAUGACUAACUGUUGGCUUUCGGGUCAGUGGUACAGAGAAAUCGUUAAGUCAUCCACCUGGGGAGUACGCCGGCAACGGUGAAACUCA